rnacentral:rRNA from 1 species
GAUGAACGCUAGCGGGAGGCCUAAUACAUGCAAGUCGAGCGGUAGAGUGACUUCGGUUGCUUGAGAGCGGCGAACGGGUGAGUAACGCGUACACAAUCUACCUUUAAGAGGGGAAUAGCCCUGGGAAACUGGGAUUAAUGCCCCAUGGCAUCACGAGACGGCAUCGUUUUGUGAUUAAAGCUGAGGUGCUUAGAGAUGAGUGUGCGUCUGAUUAGCUAGUUGGUGCGGUAACGGCGCACCAAGGCGACGAUCAGUAGGGGGCGUGAGAGCGUGGACCCCCACACGGGGUACUGAGACACGGACCCGACUCCUACGGGAGGCAGCAGUAAGGAAUAUUGGUCAAUGGAGGAAACUCUGAACCAGCCAUCCCGCGUGCAGGAAGAAUGCCCUAUGGGUUGUAAACUGCUUUUAUCUGGGAAGAAAGUCGGGAUUUAUCCUGAUCUGACGGUACCAGAGGAAUAAGCACCGGCUAACUCCGUGCCAGCAGCCGCGGUAAA